rnacentral:piRNA from 1 species
CAGUUCUAAGGGAUACAGUGCGUGG